AAACGGCGACGGAUUCAUCUCCGUCGAGGAGCUAAGCCAAGCUCUCUCCCGUCUCGGCCUCAACGCAGAUAUCUCCGAUCUCAAAUCCACCGUCGAGUCAUACAUCCAGCCUGGAAACACCGGUCUCAACUUCGACGAUUUCUCCGCCCUCCACAAGACCCUCGACGAAUCCUUCUUCGGCGGAGCAGGAGAAGACGAUGAUUCUUCUUCGCCGGAAUCCGCCGCCGCAAACGAAUCGGAUCUCGCGGAGGCGUUUAAGGUGUUCGACGAGAACGGCGACGGGUUCAUCUCCGCGAGGGAGUUGCAGACGGUUCUGAAGAAGCUUGGGUUGCCUGAAGGAGGAGAGAUGGAGAGAGUGGAGAAGAUGAUCGUCUCCGUUGACCGGAAUCAAGAUGGUCGCGUUGACUUUUUUGAAUUCAAGAACAUGAUGCGCACCGUCGUCAUUCCUUCUUCUUGAUUUCG
rnacentral:lncRNA from 1 species